GACGAACGCUGGCGGCGUGCUUAACACAUGCAAGUCGAACGGGAUUUAGUAAACAGAAACCUCGGUGGAAGAUUACUAAUGAGAGUGGCGAACGGGUGAGUAACGCGUGAGCAACCUGCCUAUGACAGUGGGAUAGCCUCGGGAAACCGGGAUUAAUACCGCAUAAAAUCGUGGAAACACAUGUUUUAACGGUCAAAGAUUUAUCGGUCAUAGAUGGGCUCGCGUCUGAUUAGCUAGUUGGUGAGAUAACAGCCCACCAAGGCGACGAUCAGUAGCCGGUCUGAGAGAAUGAACGGCCACAUUGGAACUGAGACACGGUCCAAACUCCUACGGGAGGCAGCAGUGGGGAAUAUUGCACAAUGGGGGAAACCCUGAUGCAGCGACGCCGCGUGAACGAAGAAGGUAUUCGUAUCGUAAAGUUCUGUCCUAUGGGAAGAUAAUGACAGUACCAUAGAAGAAAGCUCCGGCUAAAUACGUG
rnacentral:rRNA from 1 species